AGGACGAACGCUGGCGGCGUGCUUAACACAUGCAAGUCGAGCGGAAAGGCCCUUCGGGGUACUCGAGCGGCGAACGGGUGAGUAACACGUGAGCAACCUGCCCUUAGCUUCGGGAUAGCUCCGGGAAACCGGAAUUAAUACCGAAUAUGACUUUGGCUGACAUCAGCAGAAGUGGAAAGUUUUUCGGCUAGGGAUGGACUCGCGGCCUAUCAGCUAGUUGGUGAGGUAACGGCCCACCAAGGCGACGACGGGUAGCCGGCCUGAGAGGGCGACCGGCCACACUGGGACUGAGACACGGCCCAGACUCCUACGGGAGGCAGCAGUGGGGAAUAUUGCGCAAUGGGCGAAAGCCUGACGCAGCGACGCCGCGUGGGGGAUGAAUGCCUUCGGGUUGUAACCCCUUUCAGCAGGGACGAAGCGAAAGUGACGGUACCUGCAGAAGAAGCGCCGGCUAACUACGUGCCAGCAGCCGC
rnacentral:rRNA from 1 species